rnacentral:rRNA from 1 species
GACGAACGCUGGCGGCGUGCUUAACACAUGCAAGUCGAACGGAAAGGCCCUGCUUUUGUGGGGUGCUCGAGUGGCGAACGGGUGAGUAACACGUGAGUAACCUGCCCUUGACUUUGGGAUAACUUCAGGAAACUGGGGCUAAUACCGGAUAGGAGCUCCUGCUGCAUGGUGGGGGUUGGAAAGUUUCGGCGGUUGGGGAUGGACUCGCGGCUUAUCAGCUUGUUGGUGGGGUAGUGGCUUACCAAGGCUUUGACGGGUAGCCGGCCUGAGAGGGUGACCGGCCACAUUGGGACUGAGAUACGGCCCAGAAUCGUACGGGAGGCAGCAGUGGGGAAUAUUGCACAAUGGGCGGAAGCCUGAUGCAGAAACGCCGCGUGCGGGAUGACGGCCUUCGGGUUGUAAACCGAUUUCGCCUGUGACGAAGCGUGAGUGACGGUAAUGGGUAAAGAAGCACCGGCUAACUACGUG